AAAUUUUAAAGUUAUAAUACUAAAAUAGUAAAUAAUUAUUUAUUAAAACUUAAAUAAUUUGGCGGUAUUUUAGUUUAUUUAGAGGAAUCUGUUUAAUAAUUGAUAUUCCACGAAUAAAUUUACUUAAUUUAUAAUUUUGUAUAUCGUUGUUAUAAAAAUAUUUU
rnacentral:rRNA from 1 species